rfam:Burkholderia udeis isolate LMG 27134 genome assembly, contig: contig000052
CGUCUCCUCCACCUCCUCCUAGGUGGAUUCAGCCCGAGCCCAAGGCUCGGGCUUUUUUUC